rnacentral:misc_RNA from 1 species
AAGUCGUAACAAGGUUUCCGUAGGUGAACCUGCGGAAGGAUCAUUAUUGAAACAAAAAAAUACGGAUGAGAAUGGCCUAAAUCAGGUGUUUGAUUCCUAUUUCACCCCUUGUGCAUUAUGUAAAAUUUAACCGCUUUCCCUGAGCAAUCAGGGGACGGUGAUAAAAAAACCACUUUUUAAUGUUUCAUCUUCUUGAUGUUGACACUUUUAAAAUUUAAUAACAAAACUUUCAACAACGGAUCUCUUGUCUU